GCCGUGUUGGCGUCAGGCACUGCGGCAGCCGCGGCGUUCAGGGACUCGGCGCCGCAGAGGAGUAAUAAAAGAGACUUUGAAAAUGUAGAACUAGGAGUCACAGGAAAAAAGAAGAAAGUCCUAAGGAGAGUCAUCCACUUUGUUAGUGGCGAAACAACGGAAGAAUACAGCACAGAUGAAGAUGAAGUUGAGGGCCUAGAAAAGAAAGAUGUUUUGCCUACUAUUGAUCCUCUGGGAGUGGAAUUGCUGGUUCAUAUGAUAACUUUAAACAUGCCAGAUUGUUUUCCAAAGUAGCUAUACCAUUUUACAUUCCUGCCGGCAGUGUUGUGUGACUUUCUUGGAGGGAAGAUUGCAUCUGUUUUGGGCAUCAGCACCCCCAAAAUACCAAUAAGCCAUUGAUGAGUAUUACCGGAUGAAGAAGGAGAGUUUGGAUCUUCGAUUUUUAAACCAGAUGUGGACCACCAGCUCCAAAACGCCGAUCUCCUUGGCAAACCGUUCUCUGGCAUCCGGUUUCGGACAGGGGUCUCAGAAACGCCUGGGCCAGGGCCUUCAAUUGAGAGGCGCUGAAGCUGGUGAGGCCGCCUGACUUCCACACUUCUCUGGUGCAACCUAUUUGAGGUCCCAUCUUUGGACAAUCAUAUGGAGGUUCUGCAGGUUUGGAGGUUCAACAUGUGAACAGAAGAGGAGGACACAAUUUAGCUCCCCUAGAAUAGGACCAACAUUAGGCCAUGGCCCAGAAUAAAGAUCAACCCUGUGCAGGUUGUGCAGAAGAUAUCUGUCCACAGUUUAUGUGGCUUCACCCAUCUGUAGGAUCCCUGGAAGCCCACCUGUAUGGAAGCUCAAGGGCCCCACAUGCUCCAGCUUUCAGGAGGAUUUAGCAAAUGUGAAGCACCAGAAGGAGCUCGGGACUAUGAAAGGAAAGGAAAACCGAGCUAGGGAUCCACCUAGAUACCUCAGCCCAGCUGCAUCCUUCUGCUGAAGGCCACAGCGACCUGCGGAAGCCCUCUGCACGUGGUGGCCAACUGCAUUCCAGUAACUGCUACUUCUCUCUGCUCCUUCAACCUUUAGUGGCUGGUGACUGCCUGCUGGUAUUAAGCCCAGGAUAAUCUCAUCCCUCUUAACCCCAGGAUAACCUCAUCCCUUUUACCUUUACCAAACUCCACCCACACCUUGUAAAGAGACUAGUCGUUAAACUCUCCCAAAUUACCCCACUGGAUGUGUCAUCAGCUUCCUGUCAGGCUUCUUAUACCACUAUAACAGCUUACUCGGUCCUUUGUGGUCUACUCCUUGCGAAACUCUCCACCCUCAUCUAAUACUUCUCAGUCUCAGCUACAGCCAUGCUAGCCUGCUGCCAACUCUGUAGAUAGGCCCACCAAUAUAAAAUACUAACCAGCAUGCAGUCCUGUUGUCUUUAAACUAUUUUAAAUGAUAUAAAAGCAAUAUCAGUAACAUUUUGUUCUAGGUCAAGUCCUAGGAAAGCAGAUGCUGAGGCAGAGAUUUGGGAGCAGGAAGUUUACUGGGAACAUCCUGAGAUCUACACCUGCAAGGGCGUGAGCAAAGCAGGGCUGGGCAGAGUAGACCUAGGGCUGUGAC
ensembl:lncRNA